GGUGAACGCUGGCGGCGUGCUUAAGACAUGCAAGUCGAACGGCAGUCUUCGGACUGUAGUGGCGCACGGGUGAGUAACGCGUAACUGACCUACCCCAAAGUCGCGGAUAACGAUUCGAAAGAAUCGCUAAUACGUGAUGUGCUGUCAGAUUGUGUUCUGCCAGUAAAGAUUGAUUGCUUUGGGAUGGGGUUGCGUUCCAUCAGCUAGUUGGUGGGGUAAAGGCCCACCAAGGGGACGACGGAUAGCCGGCCUGAGAGGGUGGCCGGCCACAGGGGCACUGAGACACGGGUCCCACUCCUACGGGAGGCAGCAGUUAGGAAUCUUCCACAAUGGGCGAAAGCCGGAUGGAGCGACGCCGCGUGAGGGAUGAAGGUCUUCGGAUCGUAAACCUUUGAAUCAGGGACGAAAGACACUUCGGUGGGAUGACGGUACCUGAGUAAUAGCACCGGCUAACUCCGUGCCAGCCGCCGCCGUAACAC
rnacentral:rRNA from 1 species